rnacentral:rRNA from 1 species
UGCGUAGGCGGGUUUCUAAGUCAGAGGUGAAAGCCUGGAGCUCAACUCCAGAACUGCCUUUGAUACUGGAAGUCUUGAGUAUGGCAGAGGUGAGUGGAACUGCGAGUGUAGAGGUGAAAUUCGUAGAUAUUCGCGAGAACACCAGUGGCGAAGGCGGCUCACUGGGCCAUUACUGACGCUGAGGCACGAAAGCGUGGGAGCAAACA